GCCGGAAUAGCUCAACGGGUAGAGCACCCGCCUUGUAAGCGGAAGGUUGCGGGUUCAAGUCCCUCUUCCGGCACCA
rnacentral:tRNA from 1 species